rnacentral:tRNA from 1 species
AUUUACAUAGCUUAUCCAGAGCAUUAUAUUGAAGCUAUAAUUGAGAAAUUAUCUGUGAAUA